UUGCCUCACCCGCACCCAUUGCCUGAAGCUCAUUUGAACUGGAAGUCAUUGUCAACCCAUUCCUGCUUGCUGAGCAACGUAGCUGCUCCCUAAGGGAGCAGUCGGUGUGGGACCCAGCUGGCACGCUGUUGAGAAGACCUGGAACCCAGACUUGCCUCGUCCUGACCUUCCUGUCCUGAGUCUUCUCAUCUUCCAAACUGCAGCUCCUUGAAGAUCACCUUGCUGAAGCUCAUUGUUUAAAUGUCAACCUAGGAUUUGUUAUCAUUACUUAACUAAAUGAGUCCUGCAUAUUAGUCCUGUUCAUGAGCAAGUCUUUAACUAUUUCAUGAUUUCAUGUGGAUAUACUGGUUUUAAACCAAUAUUUGCGAGUUACUCGGGAUAUAUGCUCUGAUGUCGACUGUUUUAAGUACAGUGGGGCUUAGACUUUCAGACCACCAAUGACUUAGUUAACCAGUUGUGCGCCCAACAAGUGAUGUGAUUGUAGUGAUUUAAUUAUUGGCAGAUAGUGUUAGUAGAUGACUCAUUCAAAUGUGUGCCCAUUAUUAGCACCCGUCACCUUCAAUUCCGGUAUUGCAGACUAGGAUUAGAUAUUAAUAUUGGUGCUUGUUUCUGUAUUUUGCUAGCCAGUGACCAUAUUCAACCAAGGCUCCAUUUUCAUAUGCUUGUUUAGCCAGAUACUUUCUUACAGUUAGUUAGCAAACUUAUUAAUAGACUAAUCUUGUGACCAAGUCGAAUAAGAGCCUUAAUCAUUAUUAUUUAGCCAAUGUAACCCUUGUGUCUUAUUCUGUUGCCAAUGUCUAGGUUUCAUUAACUCACUUGGAGGCAUAGUGAGUGUCCUGACAGUCCUUGCCUCUCUUGAGGUUCCUGGUUCCUGCUACUCAGUACGUUUCACCUGUGGUCAGUAACCUUCUGUGGAACCCUUCUACCAGACCGGUGAGUACCUGGGGUGUUGUUGUGAGGGGGAGUGCUUGGGUGUGCCUGUGGUGUCUAUGAGAGUGAUGCAACUACACUGCCUUAGUACUAUACAUCAGGGUGAUCCGUGGACCAGGUAAAGAGUGCUCUUACUGUGCUAGUCUACUGUUGAGAAAUCACCACAAUUUAUUAAUGCUCUCCUUUCCAGGACCCUUUUUUUGUCUCCAUGCCAACCAAGACUUCUAGGCUAUUGCAUAUCGUACUGUAAUUUUGAUUCCCUUGUGUCACAGGUUAGGAUGUUCUGUUGGACCAUAUUGUAAAAUUCGGCUCUUGAACGUAAUACUGCAGUCACCUCUCCGGGGUUUUCCUCUGGAGGGUGGUUGCCUAGCUUAUCCUGUGAAUGAUAUUUGGUGCCCUAGGAAUUAUCCUGUAACAAUGUCUCUUGGUUUUGUUCUUAGUUUAAGUAUAGUGUUGUUUGGGAA
rnacentral:lncRNA from 1 species